rnacentral:rRNA from 1 species
AGUGAACGCUGGCGGUAGGCCUAACACAUGCAAGUCGAACGGCAGCACAGUAAGAGCUUGCUCUUACGGGUGGCGAGUGGCGGACGGGUGAGGAAUACAUCGGAAUCUACUUUUUCGUGGGGGAUAACGUAGGGAAACUUACGCUAAUACCGCAUACGACCUACGGGUGAAAGCAGGGGAUCUUCGGACCUUGCGCGAUUGAAUGAGCCGAUGUCGGAUUAGCUAGUUGGCGGGGUAAAGGUCCACCAAGGCGACGAUCCGUAGCUGGUCUGAGAGGAUGAUCGGCCACACUGGAACUGAGACACGGUCCAGACGCCUACGGGAGGCAGCAGUGGGGAAUAUUGGACAAUGGGCGCAAGCCUGAUCCAGCCAUACCGCGUGGGUGAAGAAGGCCUUCGGGUUGUAAAGCCCUUUUGUUGGGAAAGAAAAGCAGCAGGUUAAUACCCCGCUGUCCUGACGGUACCCAAAGAAUAAGCACCGGCUAACUUCGUG